rnacentral:rRNA from 1 species
AUUGAACGCUGGCGGCAGGCCUAACACAUGCAAGUAGAACGAGUGGCGGACGGGUGAGUAAUGUCUGUGAAACUGCCCGAUGGAGGGGGAUAACUACUGGAAACGGUCGCUAAUAACGCUUACCAUCGGAUGUGCUCAGAUGGGAUUUGCGAGUAGGUGGGGUAAUGGCUCACCUAGGCGACGAUCCCUAGCUGGUCUGAGAGGAUGACCCGCCACACUGGAACGGAGACACGGUCCAGACUCCGACGGGAGGCAGCAGUGGGGAAUAUUGCACAAUGGGCGAAAGCCUGAUGCAGCCCUGCCGCGUGUAUGAAGAAGGCCUUCGGGUUGUAAGGUACUUUCAGCGAGGAGGCGUUACUCGCAGAAGAAGCACCGGCUAACUCCGUGCCAGCAGCCGCGGUAAUAC